AGAGUUUGAUCAUGGCUCAGAGUGAACGCUGGCGGCGUGCUUAACACAUGCAAGUCGAACGAGAACGGCUCUAGCUUGCUAGAGUGUCAGCUAAGUGGCGGACGGGUGAGUAAUGUAUAGCUAACGUGCCCCUUGGAGAGGGAUAGCCACUGGAAACGGUGAUUAAUACCUCAUACUCCAUCUAUGUUAAUCAUAGAUGGGAAAUGUUUUUUCGCCAAGGGAUCGGGCUAUAUGGUAUCAGGUAGUUGGUGGGGUAAGAGCCUACCAAGCCAAUGACGCCUAGCUGGUCUGAGAGGAUGAUCAGCCACACUGGAACUGAGACACGGUCCAGACUCCUACGGGAGGCAGCAGUGGGGAAUAUUGCACAAUGGGGGAAACCCUGAUGCAGCAACGCCGCGUGGAGGAUGACGCAUUUCGGUGUGUAAACUCCUUUUAUAUGGGAAGAUAAUGACGG
rnacentral:rRNA from 1 species